rnacentral:rRNA from 1 species
CCUACGGGAGGCAGCAGUGGGGGAUAUUGGACAAUGGGGGAAACCCUGAUCCAGCGAUGCCGCGUGAGGGAAGAAGGUUUUCUGAUUGUAAACCUCUGUGGAGGGGGACGAUAUUCACGGUACCCCUUUAGGAAGCCACGGCUACCUACGUGCCAGCAGCCGCGGUCAUACGUAGGUGGCGAGCGUUGUCCGGAAUGACUGGGUUGAAAGGGAGUGUAGUCGGGAAAGCAAGUAAGAAGUGAAAACUAUGGGCUUAACGCAUAGCCUGCUUUUGAAACUGUUUUGCUGGAGUGAAGUAGAGGCAAGCGGAAUGCCUAGUGUAGCGGUGAAAUGCGUAGAUAUUAGGAGGAACACCAGUGGCGAAGGCGGCUUGCUGGGCUGUGACUGACGCUGAGGCUCGAAAGCGUGGGGAGCAAACAGGAUUAGAUACCCGUGUAGUC